CCUCUAGAUCUUAAAAAAUAAAGCAAUCUGACCCGUAUAGACAUGCUCGGGUAGAUUCGAAGUCUAGCAUGGGGACCUGCAACCCAGACAAGCCGCUCCACUACUCCGAACUCCGGCGAGGACGAGCUCCGGCGCACCGCGACACAUCCCGCUCCGACAAGGUCGCACUUCAGCGCACCCACACCACUGCCCAUCGCCGGCGGCACGUGCACCUCAUCCACAACACUCACUGCAGAGGCGAUGAGGAGAGGUGGGGCUGGCGGUGGACUUCUGGUGACAGGGACGGAAGCCGGUGUGGGCGGCGCGAUUGCCUCCUCCCGGACGGAUCGGGGCCAGGGAAUUGGAUCGGGAGCAGGGGUUGAAUGUUUUUUAACUUUAGAUCCAUU
rnacentral:lncRNA from 1 species